CAUCAUAAAAAAUGGAAAAACUACAUUAAAGAUAUGUAAGAUUACCAUUUUUCACUUAAAAAAAAAGACGGCUUAUCUCCAUAAUGUAACACCGUUUUAUAAAAAAGAUACUAAUAAAAUGGACCUUUUGAGGCUCCAUAGAGCGUCCACAUCAGCAAAAAAAACUUCUCCCGAAAGAUGACACGUGGCAUAAAAUAUAGUUUUACAUUUUAAUAUUACUAAUUUUCGGAAAUUAUAAAUAAUAUGUAAAAAAUAUGUAAAAAACUACAUUAAAAAUGUGUAAAAUUAUA
rnacentral:lncRNA from 1 species